rnacentral:tRNA from 1 species
GGCGGAGGUCAGCGGUUCGAGUCCGCUUAUCUCCA